GAAAGAACGCAGCGAAAUGCGAUAAGUAAUGUGAAUUGCAGAAUUCAGUGAAUCAUCGAAUCUUUGAACGCACAUUGCGCCCGCCAGUAUUCUGGCGGGCAUGCCUGUCCGAGCGUCAUUUCAACCCUCGAACCCCUCCGGGGGGUCGGCGUUGGGGAUCGGCACUUACCUGCCGGCCCCGAAAUACAGUGGCGGUCUCGCCGCAGCCUCUCCUGCGCAGUAGUUUGCACACUCGCACCGGGAGCGCGGCGCGUCCACGGCCGUAAAACAACCCAAACUUCUGAAAUGUUGACCUCGGAUCAGGUAGGAAUACCCGCUGAACUUAAGCAUAUCAAUAAGCGGAGGA
rnacentral:misc_RNA from 1 species